GGGGAUUUGGUCCAGUGGCAAGACGCUCGCGCCAGGGACAUCAAACGCUUAGCGUUGGGAGCCGAUAUGGCACGGGGCACCUAACCAGUGUUCAUGGGCAGAUUAUUGCACCUAUGCCACCCAAUGUAGCUAUAUGUCUAGAGUCUGUAGCAGACUAUAGAUAUCGCGAGAAACGGAAGUUCGAGUCUUCCAAUACCCA